UAGGGAAUCUUCCACAAUGGACGCAAGUCUGAUGGAGCAACGCCGCGUGAGUGAAGAAGGUUUUCGGAUCGUAAAGCUCUGUUGUUGGUGAAGAAGGAUAGAGGCAGUAACUGGUCUUUAUUUGACGGUAAUCAACCAGAAAGUCACGGCUAACUACGUGCCAGCAGCCGGAGUAAUACGUAGGUGGCAAGCGUUGUCCGGAUUUAUUGGGCGUAAAGCGAGCGCAGGCGGAAUGAUAAGUCUGAUGUGAAAGCCCACGGCUCAACCGGGGAACUGCAUCGGAAACUGUCAUUCUUGAGUGCAGAAGAGGAGAGUGGAAUUCCAUGUGUAGCGGUGGAAUGCGUAGAUAUAUGGAAGAACACCAGUGGCGAAGGCGGCUCUCUGGUCUGCAACUGACGCUGAGGCUCGAAAGCAUGGGUAGCGAACAGG
rnacentral:rRNA from 1 species